rnacentral:tRNA from 1 species
GCCUCGAUGGCUCAGUCGGUUGAGUGUCCGGUUUCAGCUCGGGUCAUACGAGAUCACGGUUCGUGGGUUCGAGUCCCAUGUCGGGCU